rnacentral:rRNA from 1 species
UACGAAGGGGGCUAGCGUCGCUCGGAAUCACUGGGCGUAAAGCGCACGUAGGCGGACUCUUAAGUCAGGGGUGAAAUCCUGGAGCUCAACUCCAGAACUGCCCUUGAUACUGGGAGCCUUGAGUUCGGGAGAGGUGAGUGGAACUGCGAGUGUAGAGGUGAAAUUCGUAGAUAUUCGCAAGAACACCAGUGGCGAAGGCGGCUCACUGGCCCGAUACUGACGCUGAGGUGCGAAAGCGUGGGGAGCAAACAGG